AGGAGGCUGGCGGGAGUCAGUUCCCAAGCCCCACCGCAGCUCUGCCCACGCCCUUCUGCCUGCCUGUCGAGCAUCAGGAAGGUCCUCGUAGCUACGUCUCUGCCUCCUCUGCACCACAGCCCUCUGCUCCUCUGCCCAAGAAAAGAUUCAUGCACGCCCCCAAACUGCUGCUUCACCUACACCUCCCGGAAGAUCCCCUACCAAUAUGCGGUCGCCUAUUUUAAGACCAGUGGCCAGUGCCCCACACCAGCUAUCAUCUUACUCAGCAGAAAGGGCCUGUAUGUCUGUGCCAAUCCCACCCACAUCUGGGUCCAGGAGUACAUCAGGGACCUGGAGAAGAACCCUUGAGUGGUCCAGAAGGAAGCUGUCAAAGCUGUGGGUACACCAGGCAGCAGGGACCUGAACCAGGGGACCGUCCCUGCAACCCCAGAAGUUCCCUCUCCCUUCCACUAACCACGUGUGGAAAACUUUCUUUAGUUAAGCUGUUUAAAUACUGUAGGUCAUGUUAUUCGUUUGAUGCUAUCUCCAAAAAAUCACCUGACAUACCCUUACUCCCAAGCCCCUUCCCAGUUGACCAUAUAAGGGGUGACUCAUGGUUAGGAUGAUGGCAAAUGAUGGUACUCCUGUCUCUGGGUAGACACUGGACCAAAUCUAUCCACAGAUGCUUAUUGAGUUUUUUUCUUUUUUUUUUUUUGUCUUUUUUUGCUAU